rnacentral:rRNA from 2 species
UACGGAGGAUGCGAGCGUUAUCCGGAUUUAUUGGGUUUAAAGGGUGCGUAGGCGGAUUAAUAAGUCAGUGGUGAAAACCUGCAGCUUAACUGUAGAAUUGCCAUUGAUACUGUUAGUCUUGAGUACGGUCAAGGUAGGCGGAAUGUGUAAUGUAGCGGUGAAAUGCUUAGAUAUUACACAGAACACCGAUUGCGAAGGCAGCUUACUGGGCCAUUACUGACGCUGAUGCACGAAAGCGUGGGGAGCGAACAGG